rnacentral:rRNA from 1 species
GACGAACCACACGAACGUUAUUCGGAAUUACUGGGCUUAAAGGGUGCGUAGGCGGCGCAGAAAGUUGGGUGUGAAAUCCCUCGGCUCAACCGAGGAACUGCGCCCAAAACUACUGUGCUUGAGGAAGAUAGAGGUAAGCGGAACUUACGGUGGAGCGGUGAAAUGCGUUGAUAUCGUAAGGAACACCUGUGGCGAAAGCGGCUUGCUGGACCCCAUCUGACGCUGAUGCGCGAAAGCCAGGGGAGCGAACGGG